rnacentral:tRNA from 1 species
CGGGGCGUAGCGCAGCUUGGUAGCGCACCAGCUUUGGGAGCUGGGGGCCCCGGGUUCAAGUCCCGGCGCCCCGACCA